UCCCUCUUAGCUCAGUGGUAGAGCGCGUCACUCGUAUUUGGUGUGUUCAUGACGAGGUCAGUCGUUCAAGUCGGCUAGGGGGAA
rfam:Termitomyces sp. J132 unplaced genomic scaffold scaffold83, whole genome shotgun sequence.